CUCUGUGACUCCUACGGGAGGCAGCAGUGGGGAAUAUUGCACAAUGGGCGCAAGCCUGAUGCAGCCAUGCCGCGUGUGUGAAGAAGGCCUUCGGGUUGUAAAGCACUUUCAGUUGUGAGGAAGGUGGUGUCGUUAAUAGCGGCAUCAUUUGACGUUAGCAACAGAAGAAGCACCGGCUAACUCCGUGCCAGCAGCCGCGGUAAUACGGAGGGUGCGAGCGUUAAUCGGAAUUACUGGGCGUAAAGCGCAUGCAGGUGGUUUGUUAAGUCAGAUGUGAAAGCCCGGGGCUCAACCUCGGAACUGCAUUUUGAAACUGGCAGACUAGAGUACUGUAGAGGGGGUAGAAUUUCAGGUGUAGCGGUGAAAUGCGUAGAGAUCUGAAGGAAUACCGGUGGCGAAGGCGGCCCCCUGGACAGAUACUGACACUCAGAUGCGAAAGCGUGGGGAGCAAACAGGAUUAGAUACCCUGGUAG
rnacentral:rRNA from 1 species